UACGGAGGGGGCUAGCGUUGUUCGGAAUUACUGGGCGUAAAGCGCACGUAGGCGGCUUUGCAAGUUAGAGGUGAAAGCCCGGGAGCUCAACUCCGGAAUUGCCUUUAAAACUGCAUCGCUAAAAUUGUGGAGAGGUAAGUGGAAUUCCGAGUGUAGAGGUGAAAUUCGUAGAUAUUCGGAAGAACACCAGUGGCGAAGGCGACUUACUGGACACAUAUUGACGCUGAGGUGCGAAAGCGUGGGGAGCAAACAGG
rnacentral:rRNA from 1 species